UGUCUACGGCCAUACCACCCUGAACGCGCCCGAUCUCGUCUGAUCUCAGAAGCUAAGCAGGGUCGGGCCUGGUUAGUACUUGGAUGGG
rnacentral:miRNA from 1 species